rnacentral:rRNA from 1 species
UACGUAGGGUGCGAGCGUUAAUCGGAAUUACUGGGCGUAAAGCGUGCGCAGGCGGUUUUGCAAGACAGAUGUGAAAUCCCCGGGCUCAACCCGGGAACUGCGUCCGAUACUGGAAGGCUUGAAUCCGGGAGAGGGAUGCGGAAUUCCAGGUGUAGCGGUGAAAUGCGUAGAUAUCUGGAGGAACACCGGUGGCGAAGGCGGCAUCCUGGACCGGUAUUGACGCUGAGGCGCGAAAGCCAGGGGAGCAAACGGG